CAUUGAAACACUGGUUCCUGUAUGAUCACCAAAGUUAAGUAAUGUUGAGCCUGGUCAGUAGCUAGGUGAGAGACCCUUGGGAAUAUCAGGUGUUGUAAGC